GCCCAGACUCCUACGGGAGGCAGCAGUGGGGAAUAUUGCACAAUGGGGGAAACCCUGAUGCAGCGAUGCCGCGUGGAGGAAGAAGGUUUUCGGAUUGUAAACUCCUUUUAUCAGGGACGAUGAUGACGGUACCUGAAGAAAAAGCAUCGGCUAACUCCGUGCCAGCAGCCGCGGUAAUACGGAGGAUGCGAGCGUUAUCCGGAUUUAUUGGGUUUAAAGGGUGCGUAGGCGGGACCUUAAGUCAGCGGUAAAAUUGCGGUGCUCAACGCCGUAGAGCCGUUGAAACUGGGGUUCUUGAGUGAGCGAGAAGUAUGCGGAAUGCGUGGUGUAGCGGUGAAAUGCAUAGAUAUCGCGCAGAACUCCGAUUGCGAAGGCAGCAUGCCGGCUCCACACUGACGCUGAGGCACGAAAGCGUGGGUAUCGAACAGGAUUAGAUACCCUUGUA
rnacentral:rRNA from 1 species